GACGAACGCUGGCGGCGUGCUUAACACAUGCAAGUCGAACGGAAAGGCCCUGCUUUUGUGCGGUGCUCGAGUGGCGAACGGGUGAGUAACACGUGAGUAACCUGCCCUUGACUUUGGGAUAACUUCAGGACACUGGGGCUAAUACCGGAUAGGAGCUCCUGCUGCAUGGUGGGGGUUGGAAAGUUUCGGCGGUUGGGGAUGGGCUCGCGGCUUAUCAGCUUGUUGGUGGGGUAGUGGCUUACCAAGGACUUGACGGGUAGCCGGCCUGAGAGGGUGACCGGCCAAAUUGGGACAGAGAUACGGCCCAGACUCCUACGGGAGGCAGCAGUGGGGAAUAGUGCACGAUGGGCGGAAGUCUGAUGCAGCAACGCCGCGUGAGGGAUGACGGCCUUCUGGUUGUAAACCGCUUUCGCCUGUGACGGAGGGUGAGUGACGGUAAUGGGUAAAGAAGCACCGGCUAACUACGUG
rnacentral:rRNA from 1 species